AGGCGCGAGCCACUGUGCCUGGCCAGCAGUUGUUUAAUAUUUAGAAAUUGACAUUAGUCUGAGUGGAGCAAGUGAACUGAGUGGUUGUGUAGUCACGUCUCAGAAACUGGUUGCGCUAGCAGCAUGGUUGGCCAACUGACUGAAGAGCAGAUUGCAGAAUUCAAAGAAGCUUUUUCACUAUUUGACAAAGAUGGUGAUGGAACUAUAACAACAAAGGAAUUGGGAGCUGUAAUGACGUCUCUUGGGCAGAAUCCCACAGAAGCAGAGUUACAGGACAUGAUUAGUGAAGUAGAUGCCCAAUGGUAAUGGCAUAGUUGACUUCCGUGUAUUUCUGACAAUGAUGGCAAGAAAAAUAAAAGACACAGACAGUGAAGAAGAAAUUAGAGAAACAUUCAGUGUGUUUGAGAAGGAUGGCAAUGGCUCUAUUAGUGCUGCAGAACUUCACCAUGUGAUGACAAACCUUGGAGAGAAGUUAACAGUUGAAGAAGUUGAUGAAAUUAUCAGGGAAGCAGAUACUGAUGGUAACAGUCAAGUAAACUAAGAAGACUUUGUACAGAUGAUGUCAGCAAAGCGAAGACCUUGUACAAAAUGUGUUAAAUUUCUUGUACAAAAUUGUUACUUGCCUUUUUUUUGUCACUUAUCUGUGAAAGGUUUCUCCCUACUGCCAAAAAAAAAAAAUGCAUGUAUAGUAAUUAGGACUUCAUAAACAUAAAUAAAUAAAACAAUUACAAUUUGAAAAGUAAAAAUUGACUAAGGUAAUUUAUUCCAGUAACAGAUUAAAGGGGGAGAAUAUGCUUCUUUCAAUGGAUACAGAAUUAGCAUUUGUAUCUUCAUGACUUUUUAAAAAGUUCCUAGGAUAGAAGGGAAUUUUCAUUACCUAAUAAUAAAAUAUCUCUACAAAAUCCAACAGUAAACAUUAUAAUUUUAAUUGGGAUUCCUUGAAAGUAUUCAUUCCCUUAAGAUGAGGAGCAAGACAAGGGAGCCCACCGUCACUUCCAGUCAGUGAUGUAGUGGGAGGGACGUCCUCGCCAGUAAAGUAAACCAAGACAAGGAAAUGACAUAGGAUCAGAAAGGAGAAGGCAGAUCUGUCAUUAUUCUCAGACAACAUAUUUGAUUGUAAACCCAAAAAGAAUGUUCAAAUAGAUUAUUGGCUUUAUCAGAGAAUUUUCCAAAAUCAAUUGCAUUUCUAUAUUUCUGCACCAAUGGGUAGAGCAUGUGAUUACAGAAAAGAUACACUUUACAUACCUAGGAAUAAAUCUAACAAAAGAUAUGUAAGACCUGUGAUUAAAAUAUAUACACACACACACACACACACACACACACCCCUUAUCAAGAGACACUUUAAGAAAUUAAUGGAGAGGCCUACAUGUUUGUGGAUUAAAAGUUACAGUUUGUGGCCUGGUGCAGUGACUCAUGCCUGUAAUCCACAUACUUUGGGAGGCCAAGGGGGAUUA